GACAAAUCUGCUUGUUGGCCAAAUGUUUGUGGAGGUCGAACCAGAUGUGUGGUCGCUGCAUACAACAACCAGCCUAUAUGUUUACGCUAUGAUAAUCCAUGUGACAAUGUAACCUGUGAUAACGAUGGAGUAUGUCGUAACGAUGUUGGUGGUUAUAGAUGUGAUUGUGACGAUGGAUUUUAUGGGCCGCACUGUGAAUACACUCCCUGCUCUACAAAGCCAUGUAACAAUGGUGGUUUUUGCACAUAUUCAGGAUCGUCCUUUUCCUGUAACUGUAUUAACAGACACUACGGAAGUAAAUGUCGU